CCAUCUUACGCGAGUUGGUGGUGACCGCAACCUUAGAGGCCGCCAGUUUGACUUCUCGCGAGUCUCAGUAGCGUUACGUACGAUAGGGAACGGAUCGACAACGGAUCCGACGGUAGACCGCUUCCUCGUGCUCGCAUGCGCGCGAUUUAAACGGUCAGCAGAUUGGUGAAUCUUUAUGUCGAUAUCGCGAGAACACGCCGAGAAAAAGUUCAAUACGGCAGGGUAUACAUCUUAAUACGCAAUCUCUGCCAUUUUAUGAUUCUUUGAUCUUCUCUUCACUAUCGCUUCGUUUCAUGUGUCGACACGGUUUACGAGUGUUGUGCAACUCUUUUUCACGAGCCUUUAUUUUAUCAGUGACUGGAUUAAUGCAACUCUUGAUUCCUUCCCGACAGUGAUGAUCGACCGUGAUUUUCCACGAUCGAGAGUCGCAGUUCUCGUGGUCGAUCGUUUUGGAAGGUCGAGCGAUGAGUCAAUUCGCGAAGCGUAUCGCCACGCUGGCUCAUUUUAUCGGGAUAUACACGGUGUCAAAUAAAAGCUACUAUUGUAUUUCAAUGAUAAACCGAUUGUUAUAUUGCAGCUAUUUAUCACACUUCAAUCUCCGACUGGAGAAACAAAUGAGUGUAAUCCACUAGCUUCGGUAUCGCGAUUUUUAAAGAGGCACUUUGAGUUCCGAUGUCGUUUGAAUUACAUUUCUUGAUUGAUAAAUCCUUCUUCGUUUUACGGCGCGAAUCAUUUAAGAUACAUGACUACAAAUAUUGUCUUAUUUCGGCCACGUAACCAGGCGUGGAGAUGAUAGUCUCAAAAAACUGGUUGUCAUCGGCAAUGUCGAAGGUAGAAGGGCACGAGGCCGGAGCCCAAGCAGACGGACACAUCAAGUAGUAGAAAAUAGAACGUCUAAGUUCUAUACCACGGGAAAGAUAGCUGUCGAUAGAAAUCGUUGGAGACAAUUUGUUCACCCCAGGUUUGUCACAUCAAGUGAAGACCGCGAUCUUCAGUUAUGAAAAAGCAACUAGAGAUAACUACGAACAUCACUGUCCGAUAUAUUUCAUUAGGCACUGUUUGCAAUGGUAUUGAUGAUUGAAAUUGCAAAUCAUUUGUUCUUAUCUGGAAUUGCUUGCAUCUCUUAGAUUUAUUGUUUUUUAGGAACUUCACUCUCCCUGCAAAGUAUGUAAUUCCGUAAAGAAGUGGAGCGUUAGUUUUUGAGAAACUUUGUUUCAAUAUAACUUGAAUGUAGGCGUGUACACGUUAUAUGUACAUCGCUUCUGAUAUUUAUCAAUCAAUUUCAAAUCUAGCUGCAAUCGAAUUCAAGGAUGUUUCAGCGAAGGCGCGUCACAUAUACGUUAUUCUUUCAGACGUCACUGACUACACUAAUCGCUAUCUUGUCAACCUUCGAAUUACGAGGUAGAACGUCAGCGACACCAUCUCUCGCCACCACAGUGCACAUCUAACACCGAUCCAUCAUCGACGAUGGUUCGUUGGCAAUUAAUCAAAACACAAAUUAGUAAUGUACGUUAUCAAAAGGCUUUCCUGGGAGACCUUAUCGAAACUGUCAGAUCCGACAGGAGCUUCAAUAUCACACUAGGUGUCUCAUGAAUCCUCCACGAUAUCCAUUUCCGAGGGUCUUCAGACUUGUGUCAAGAACAAAAGCAAUGUCACUGUUAGUAAAUCUUUGUUUGUCUGUCUUAAUUGUUGAACACUGUUUCAUUAUGUUCCACAAAAAGAGAGAGAAAGAGAAUGAGAGUAAAAAAAGCGACGAUCAAGAAACGCGAGGCGGUUGCUCCGAGAUCGUUGUCGCCUUCGAAGAUGACCGUACGCGACUGCCUUCUCCCUUUUCCACCCUCGAAACGAGCCACCCUCGGAGAAGAGACCACACAACCGAGGGAUGCGAAAGCAGAAUCAAUACACAGCGCCGCCACCCCCCGAUAGAAACGUGCGAGUGAACCACCCUUGAAUGUCUGGCCUCGACGUCGUUCGCCCACACUCUCUGUCACCUCCCUUCUUGACGAAAGCACGCAUGCGUCGCAGAAAGUGGGGAACCACCGAUACACGUUUGUUCCGUGUUCUAUCCUUUUAGCAGAGGGUACUGCUCGCAGCCGAGAGAGUUUCAGACUAGUCAGCUGAUCGGACUGAAUGUCACGAAGCGCAAGCGUUAACGCGUCCUAAAGCAAAGAGCUCAAAAAUUUUCAAGCGCACUGUAGAAAGAACGGCUUUUCUGGCUACGAUUAUCGAAAAUGCGUAAAAGAUUUAUUCAUUUUUUAUUUGUGUUACUGAUACUUCGGAAUAAAAGAAGAUAAAAUUAGCAUAAUAUCGUUUUAAGCUACAUUCCAAAACAUCCUCUCCGAGAAAAACUUUACUCGAUAUAAUACAGUAUACGUUACGUGUACUAUAUAUUUCGAGUAAAGUUUUCCUCGGAAAGGAUGUUUUGGAAUCUAACCUUAGUAAGAAAAGAUAUAGAAAGCAGAAAAGAUUCAGCUUUCUAUCUACGAAAAGAAAUCGAUUGCUCUAAUUCCAAGAUAUCGAUAUGUACAUCCUGAUGAUGACGCACGCAUCUGUGGGAUGUACAGAGUGGGAUGCCACAUCUUCACCUUUAUCGUCCUCCUACCUAGCAACGAGUUUUCGCCUCGUCAGCUGCUCGAAUCAGUUACUAUACUAUGAACAUCGACAAGAUUAUCGGAACAUAGCCAUGUCCACCGCCAUUUACUCAGGAGAGGAUGUUCGAGAGUCAGUAUGAAGUGGAUAAAGUCAAAGUUUCUGAAAGAGGCAACAAGCAAGAAAGUGCGUUCCAUCAGCUGAUCAAUCGACCGAGAAAGUAACGAUGAGAGAAGAGUAGCGGGCAUCCACUCCACGCAAAAGACGGGCGAAAGGAUGAAGAAGAGGCGAUACCAAAAUGUUGUGCGGACAACGGCCGGUUAUGACGAACUGGGUCCAUUUCUCGAAAGGUAGCGAUAAGCGCUCGGAAUCGGCCAACUCGACUUCGUUACGCCGUUUAUCAGCGGUAGAUGCUGAUAAGCGAUAGCGUGUCCGCCUAAUAUCCGGCACUGAUCGUUGCCGUCGAGAAUCUUAUAUAUAUUGUACGUACGGAGCUGCGAAACGAUAAAAUAUAUCGAGAAAUGCGUGUUGUACUAAACCGUAAAAGCGGAGCAAAUUAUUAUUUUCCGGUUGGUGUCGCGAGUUAUCAAGGCUACAAAUAUGUGAUACGAUAAUAGUGAGUGAUAAAACUGUGAAAGGUAUAACAUAAAAUGAUAUUGCGUUUUUUUUCGUGUAUCGCAGUUCUACAUUAUAAAAAUAAAAAUCCGAUUUAAUCGACCGUAGUGAAACGAGUCAUUUAAAUUAACUGAAUAAAGAAUUAUUUUUAUCCUCCUUUCAAAAAAAUUUGAAACAAAACAAUAGAACGAUAAAGAUUAAUUGAAUGUGUAAACAAUAUGCAUCAAUUUAAUUGUAAAUUAAAAUCAUAGGAAGUACUUUAUAAAUAAUUUUGUAUUAUUUAUAAAUCAAUGUUUUUCACGAUUUGCUUAUUCGAAAUGAUUACUGAUAUAGCCGCGAUAAUAUUAAUUACGUAACUCUAUAAAUGAAAAACAAGUGGGGGGUAGAAAUGCGAAAUUUGCAUAUAUGUAUACGUUGUAAAUAUCGUAAGAGGCAUAGAUGCAUGCGGAAUAUGCGGAUUAAUCGAGUCACUUAAAUCGCGUAUGUUCCUUGUUUAUUUAAUAAGCUCAAGUAUGCGCUUCGUGCUCUUUCCUGCCUUUUAUCCGUUCAUAGAUUCGUAACUAUUGCCACGCCUCGAGCACAAACAUGCUAAAAAGAAUCUUUGAGAUAAGCUCUGCAAAUCUUGGAAUAUAUAGAAGUACCUACUUCACGCUUUGUGUAUUUACCUACUAGAUAUAGGAGAGAUUGGAGCUAGUUGACCAACUUUUAGUUUUGAAUUUUUGCAGACAAAACCAAGAGAUUUAUCAAAUAAGCAAAUCCUGUCAGUUGUUAGAUACAGUAGAUUAUGUAAUAACAUUUUAAUAAUAUAUAAAAAUACUAAUAACUCUGAUAUAAGAAAUGUUUUUUGAACACGUGCCUUGUGUAUCAAGUGUCAGAUUAAGUUCAUUACGGCAUUAUUGUAGCAUUGUGU
rnacentral:lncRNA from 13 species